GGUUGUAUGGUGUAGUGGUAGCACGUCGGACUUUGAAUCCGUCGACCCGAGUUCGACCCUCGGUAUGACCU
rfam:Ramazzottius varieornatus DNA, contig: Scaffold002, strain: YOKOZTNA-1.